AUUGAACGCUGGCGGCAGGCUUAACACAUGCAAGUCGAGCGGGGUGAUGGUGCUUGCACUAUCACUUAGCGGCGGACGGGUGAGUAAUGCUUAGGAAUCUGCCUAUUAGUGGGGGACAACAUCUCGAAAGGGAUGCUAAUACCGCAUACGUCCUACGGGAGAAAGCAGGGGAUCACUUGUGACCUUGCGCUAAUAGAUGAGCCUAAGUCGGAUUAGCUAGUUGGUGGGGUAAAGGCCUACCAAGGCGACGAUCUGUAGCGGGUCUGGGAGGAUGAUCCGCCACACUGGGACUGAGACACGGCCCAGACUCCUACGGGGGCAGCAGUGGGGAAUAUUGGACAAUGGGGGGAACCCUGAUCCAGCCAUGCCGCGUGCGUGAAGAAGGCCUUAUGGUUGUAAAGCACUUUAAGCGAGGAGGAGGCUCUUUUGGUUAAUACCCAAGAUGAGUGGACGUUACUCGCAGAAUAAGCACCGGCUAACUCUGUGCCAGCCGCCGCCGUAA
rnacentral:rRNA from 1 species